GGAGGGAUGAAGGCCUAGGGUUGUAAACUCUUUUCUCAAGGAGGAAGAUCUGACGUUACUUGAGGAAUAAGCAUCGGCUAACCCUGUGCCAGCAGCCGCGGUAAUACAGGGGAUGCAAGUGUUAUCCGGAAUUAUUGGGCGUAAAGCGUCUGCAGGUUGAUAUUUAAGUCUUUUGUUAAACCUUCGGGCUCAACCCGGAAUCUGCAAAGGAAACUAUAUACUUGAGUAUGGUAGGGGUAAAGGGAAUUUCCAGUGGAGCGGUGAAAUGCGUAGAUAUUGGAAAGAACACCAACAGCGAAGGCACUUUACUGGGCCAGUACUGACACUCAGAGACGAAAGCUAGGGGAGCAAACAGGAUUAGAUACCCUGGUAGUCCUAGCUGUAAACNAUGGAUACUAGAUGUUGUGUACCUUANGGUAUGCAGUGUCGUAGCUAACGCGUUAAGUAUCCCNCCUGGGAAGUAUGCUC
rnacentral:rRNA from 1 species